AAUGACAUGUUUUGUAAUAAAACCCGUCCCAUCUUUUGACUUAUGCAGUUCUAGGUGAUAUUAAAAUUGGCUUUGGGUAUUCAUAUGAUUUUAGUCGUAUUCACACAACACAGACAUAUAUAUAUAUACUCUCUGUAAAUAAUUACCAGAAAAACCAAGAAGAUUUCGUUUUGUAUAUGUGGGGAAAUUUUUUUUUUUUUUUGACAGUAUAUGUGGGGAAAGUUUAUUUAAAAUUAGAGUAAAAGGGAUUCAAAGUGUGAUAAUUCCCUGACAAUUAUUUUACAAGUGGUUUUUAAAUUUUGCUUAUAUUUCAUCAUCAUAUUCAUUUUGAAAGAAAAUAAUGACAUGGCUUAACGAAAGUUGCAAUGUUUAUUGUUUUGUUUUUUUUUUGAAAGAACAAUGUUUAUUGGUGCAAUUCUAUUUGUUCUUUCCCACCAGUACAUUUUCCAUUUAUUUAUUUUUACCGGUUUGUUCCAGCAAACGGACUCUAUACCUUUAUAGCAAUUUCCACAUGACAACUGAUUAAAUCUGCUCGUUGAUUCAAA
rnacentral:lncRNA from 1 species